rnacentral:rRNA from 1 species
UACGUAGGGCGCAAGCGUUGUCCGGAAUUAUUGGGCGUAAAGAGCUCGUAGGUGGUUUGUCGCGUCUGUUGUGAAAGCCCGGGGCUUAACUCCGGGUUUGCAGUGGAUACGGGCAGGCUAGAGGCAGGUAGGGGAGAACGGAAUUCCCGGUGUAGCGGUGAAAUGCGUAGAUAUCGAGAGGAACACCUGCGGCGAAGGCGGGUUGCUGGGCUGACACUGACGCUGAGGCGCGAAAGCUAGGGGAGCGAACGGG